rnacentral:rRNA from 1 species
GUUAUAGGGUCAAGCGAACAAGUGCAUGUGGUGGAUGCCUUGGCGAUCACAGGCGAUGAAGGACGCGGUAGCCUGCGAAAAGCUACGGGGAGCUGGCAAACGAGCUUUGAUCCGUAGAUGUCCGAAUGGGGAAACCCACUCCUUUUGGAGUAUCCAUGGCUGAAUACAUAGGCCAUGCGAAGCGAACGCGGUGAACUGAAACAUCUAAGU